UAGGGAAUCUUCGGCAAUGGACGGAAGUCUGACCGAGCAACGCCGCGUGAGUGAAGAAGGUUUUCGGAUCGUAAAGCUCUGUUGUAAGAGAAGAACGAGUGUGAGAGUGGAAAGUUCACACUGUGACGGUAUCUUACCAGAAAGGGACGGCUAACUACGUGCCAGCAGCCGCGGUAAUACGUAGGUCCCGAGCGUUGUCCGGAUUUAUUGGGCGUAAAGCGAGCGCAGGCGGUUAGAUAAGUCUGAAGCUAAAGGCUGUGGCUUAACCAUAGUAGGCUUUGGAAACUGUUUAACUUGAGUGCAAGAGGGGAGAGUGGAAUUCCAUGUGUAGCGGUGAAAUGCGUAGAUAUAUGGAGGAACACCGGUGGCGAAAGCGGCUCUCUGGCUUGUAACUGACGCUGAGGCUCGAAAGCGUGGGGAGCAAACAGGAUUAGAUACCCUGGUAGUCCACGCUGUAAACGAUGAGUGCUAGGUGUUAGACCCUUUCCGGGGUUUAGUGCCGUAGCUAACGCAUUAAGCACUCCGCCUGGGGAGUACGACCGCAAGGUUG
rnacentral:rRNA from 1 species